rnacentral:rRNA from 1 species
AGAGUACGUGAAACCGUUCAGGGGUAAACCUGAGAAACCCGAAAGGUCGAAAGGGGAGAUUCAGCGUGUCUCGAUUGCGGCGCUGGACGGUCGUGCGACGGAAGACGUACGCGUCAUCCGCACCUUCCGUUCUCCGAACCGUAGUCGAACGCGUGCACUUCUCCCCCUGUAGGACGUCGCGAUCCGUUGGGUGUCGGCCUAAGGCCCGCAAUGGAGCCCGUUCGGACGGUUCGCCGUUCCGGACGAACUUGCGGUGUUUCCCGGUCGGCUCGCUCGACGGUAUACAGAUGGCGCGGGGCCGCUACACAUCAGUUAGCGUCCGACCGGCGGCAAGCGCGCUCGUCGUGACGGUGAUCGGACCUGGUGCCGGUCCUGUCCCCGAGUGGCUGUUCGCUGCCGUGUUCUCGGACAGACCUCGUCGAAACGCCGAUCUGCGACGCUAUAGCUU